rnacentral:lncRNA from 1 species
GCAUGGAGUGUAGACUACUAAAGCUCGUAGUCCGGAGGAAGAGGAGCAGGGCUUACUGAAGCUCUGAAUUACAUCAGUCAAGAUGCUAAAUGAGGAUAUAGAACAUCUAUGAUCUUCUGAUGCAUCGGUUGCCAUGGAAGCUGCUCCUCUGGCCUGAUUUGAUCAAUUUUUUUCAGUUACUCCCUGGGGUGUUCUCUGUCAGCGACUGAUACAACAUUUUCCAUUUUAUGUAAGUCAAGAAGAAGCAUUGCAAUGUCUGUCUGAUGUUAUUCAUCCUCCCUCUCUGUUCCCGUGUUCUUUCCUCCAUUUCUCCUUUCUCUCUCUCUCCAGUCUCUUGUUCUUUCCUUCCUUUUUCUCUCCCUCCCUCCCCACUUCUUCUUCCCUCAAGUGCCUACUAUAUGCCAGGUGUAAACUGAGUGUUGCCCAGCGAUGAUCAUGCC